rnacentral:rRNA from 1 species
CAAUAGCGUAUAUUAAAGUUGUUGCGGUUAAAAAGCUCGUAGUUGGAUUUCUGCUGAGGACGACCGGUCCGCCCUCCGGGUGAGCAUCUGGUUCGGCCUUGGCAUCUUCUUGGUGAACGUAUCUGCACUUGACUGUGUGGUGCGGUACCCAGGACUUUUACUUUGAGGAAAUUAGAGUGUUCAAAGCAGGCCUUUGCUCGAAUACAUUAGCAUGGAAUAAUAGAAUAGGACGUGUGGUUCUAUUUUGUUGGUUUCUAGGACCGCCGUAAUGAUUAAUAGGGAUAGUCGGGGGCGGUCAGUAUUCAGCUGUCAAGAGGUGAAAUUCUUGGAUUUGCUGAAGACUAACUACUGCGAAAGCAUUCGCCAAGGAUGUUUUUCAUUAAUCAGGGAACGAAAGUUAGGGGAUCGAAGACGAUUAGAUACCG